rnacentral:rRNA from 1 species
UACAGAGGGUGCGAGCGUUGUUCGGAAUUACUGGGUGUAAAGGGUUCGUAGGCGGUGCGGCAAGUCGGGAGUGAAAUCUCUGGGCUCAACCCAGAGGCUGCUUCCGAAACUGCUGUGCUUGAGUGUGGGAGAGGCGCGUGGAAUUGCAGGUGUAGCGGUGAAAUGCGUAGAUAUCUGCAGGAACACCCGUGGCGAAAGCGGCGCGCUGGACCACUACUGACGCUGAAGAACGAAAGCUAGGGGAGCAAACAGG